rnacentral:rRNA from 1 species
AGUGAACGCUGGCGGUAGGCCUAACACAUGCAAGUCGAACGGCAGCACAGUAAGAGCUUGCUCUUACGGGUGGCGAGUGGCGGACGGGUGAGGAAUACAUCGGAAUCUACUUUUUCGUGGGGGAUAACGUAGGGAAACUUACGCUAAUACCGCAUACGACCUACGGGUGAAAGCAGGGGAUCUUCGGACCUUGCGCGAUUGAAUGAGCCGAUGUCGGAUUAGCUAGUUGGCGGGGUAAAGGCCCACCAGGGCGACGAUCCGUAGCUGGUCUGAGAGGAUGGUAAGCCACACUGGAACUGAGACACGGUCCAGACUCCUACGGGAGGCAGCAGUGGGGAAUAUUGGACAAUGGGCGCAAGCCUGAUCCAGCCAUACCGCGUGGGUGAAGAAGGCCUUCGGGUUGUAAAGCCCUUUUGUUGGGAAAGAAAAGCAGCAGGUUAAUACCCCGCUGUUCUGACGGUACCCAAAGAAUAAGCACCGGCUAACUUCGUG